rnacentral:rRNA from 1 species
GACAGAGGUGCCGAGCGUUAGGCGGAAUCACUGGGCUUAAAGGGCGCGUAGGCGGCCAGCACAAGUCAGUUGUGAAAUCUCCGAGCUUAACUCGGAACGGUCAACUGAUACUGUGCGGCUAGAGUGCGGAAGGGGCAACUGGAAUUCUUGGUGUAGCGGUGAAAUGCGUAGAUAUCAAGAGGAACACCUGCGGCGAAGGCGGGUUGCUGGGCCGACACUGACGCUGAGGCGCGAAAGCCAGGGGAGCGAACGGG